rnacentral:tRNA from 1 species
CGCGAGAUGGAGCAGGCUGGUAGCUCGGCGGGCUCAUAACCCGCAGGUCAGGGGUUCAAAUCCCCUUCUCGCAACCA